UUAUAAGGUGAAAGUAAUGUAUAGAUUUGUGCCCCUGGGCCUCUCAUAGUGCCCCAUGCCAAAGCAAACUGUAGCCCUGAACCAUUGCCUGGCUUCUCCCUGUAGGCUGCUGGCACUGAAUUGGGUUGCAUAGAG